rnacentral:rRNA from 1 species
UACGGGGGGAGCAAGCGUUGUUCGGAUUUACUGGGCGUAAAGGGCGCGUAGGCGGUCAGCACAAGUCAGUCGUGAAAUCUCCGGGCUUAACUCGGAAAGGUCAACUGAUACUGUGCGACUAGAGUGCGGAAGGGGCAACUGGAAUUCUCGGUGUAGCGGUGAAAUGCGUAGAUAUCGAGAGGAACACCUGCGGCGAAGGCGGGUUGCUGGGCCGACACUGACGCUGAUGCGCGAAAGCCAGGGGAGCGAACGGG